rnacentral:rRNA from 1 species
UACGGGGGGGGCAAGCGUUGUUCGGAAUUACUGGGCGUAAAGGGCUCGUAGGUGGCCAACUAAGUCAGACGUGAAAUCCCUCGGCUUAACCGGGGAACUGCGUCUGAUACUGGAUGGCUUGAGUUUGGGAGAGGGACGCGGAAUUCCAGGUGUAGCGGUGGAAAUGCGUAGAUAUCUGGAGGAACACCGGUGGCGAAGGCGGCGUCCUGGACCAACAC